AAAGGACGGACCUUCGGGAGCUUGCACAGGUGCUGCAUGGCUGUCGUCAGCUCGUGUCGUGAGAUGUUCGGUUAAGUCCGCUAACGAGCGCAACCCUCACUGUGUGUUAUAUGUGUCACACGGGACUGCCGGUUUUAAGCCGGAGGAAGGUGGGGAUGACGUCAAGUCAGCAUGGCCUUUAUAUCCUGGGCUACACACACGCUACAAUGGUCGGUACAAUAGGUUGCCAAGCCGCGAGGCGGAGCCAAUCCAAAAAGACCGGCCUCAGUUCAGAUUGUAGGCUGCAACUCGCCUGCAUGAAGAUGGAGUUGCUAGUAACCGCAGGUCAGCAAUACUGCGGUGAAUACGUUCCCGGGUCUU
rnacentral:rRNA from 1 species